GAUGAAGAACGUAGCGAAAUGCGAUAAGUAAUGCGAAUUGCAGAAUUCAGUGAGUCAUCGAAUCUUUGAACGCACAUUGCGCCCUGUGGUAUUCCGCAGGGCAUGCCUGUUCGAGCGUCAUUUCAACCCUCAAGCUCUGCUUGGUGUUGGGCCCUGCCCGCUGCGGCCGGCCCUAAAGACAGUGGCGGUGCCGCCUGGCCCUGAGCGUAGUACAUCUCUCGCUCCAGUGCCCGGUGGUAGCCUGCCAGAACCCCAACUCUCGUGGUUGACCUCGGAUCGGUAGGGAUACCCGCUGAACUUAAGCAUAUCAAUAAGCGGAGGA
rnacentral:misc_RNA from 1 species